UACGGAGGGUGCAAGCGUUAUCCGGAUUUACUGGGCUUAAAGGGUGCGUAGGCGGGUCUGUAAGUCAGUGGUGAAAUCUCCGAGCUUAACUCGGAAACUGCCAUUGAUACUAUAGGUCUUGAAUUAUCUGGAGGUAAGCGGAAUAUGUCAUGUAGCGGUGAAAUGCUUAGAUAUGACAUAGAACACCAAUUGCGAAGGCAGCUUACUACGGAUUGAUUGACACUGAGGCACGAAAGCGUGGGGAUCAAACAGG
rnacentral:rRNA from 1 species